rnacentral:rRNA from 1 species
GACGAACGCUGGCGGCGUGCCUAAUACAUGCAAGUAGAACGCUGAAGGAGGAGCUUGCUCUUCUGGAUGAGUUGCGAACGGGUGAGUAACGCGUAGGUAACCUGCCUGGUAGCGGGGGAUAACUAUUGGAAACGAUAGCUAAUACCGCAUAAGAGUAGAUGUUGCAUGACAUUUGCUUAAAAGGUGCAAUUGCAUCACUACCAGAUGGACCUGCGUUGUAUUAGCUAGUUGGUGGGGUAACGGCUCACCAAGGCGACGAUACAUAGCCGACCUGAGAGGGUGGUCGGCCACACUGGGACUGAGACACGGCCCAGACUCCUACGGGAGGCAGCAGUAGGGAAUCUUCGGCAAUGGACGGAAGUCUGACCGAGCAACGCCGCGUGAGUGAAGAAGGUUUUCGGAUCGUAAAGCUCUGUUGUAAGAGAAGAACGAGUGUGAGAGUGGAAAGUUCACACUGUGACGGUAUCUUACCAGAAAGGGACGGCUAACUACGUG